rnacentral:ncRNA from 1 species
GAGAGCACAGUACGAUGAAAGUUGUAAGCUGUGUUCGGGGGGGAGUUAUUGUCUAUCGUUGGGGUGCGAUGAUUUACUUCAC